CACGGAGGGCGCGAGCGUUGACCGGAAUCACUGGGUGUAAAGGGAGCGUAGGCGGGCGUGGACGUCUGGGGUGAAAGGCUCCGGCUCAACCGGGGACGUGCCCUGGAUACUGCUGGUCUUGAGUGCGGGAGAGGGAGAUGGAAUUCCUGGUGUAGCGGUGAAAUGCGUAGAGAUCAGGUGGAACACCGGUGGCGAAGGCGGUUGCCUGGCCCCCUACUGACGCUGAGGCGCGAAAGAGUGGGGAGCAAACAGG
rnacentral:rRNA from 1 species